rnacentral:rRNA from 1 species
GUACACUCCUACGGGAGGCAGCAGUGGGGAAUAUUGGACAAUGGGCGCAAGCCUGAUCCAGCCAUGCCGCGUGAGUGAUGAAGGCCCUAGGGUUGUAAAGCUCUUUCACCGGUGAAGAUAAUGACGGUAACCGGAGAAGAAGCCCCGGCUAACUUCGUGCCAGCAGCCGCGGUAAUACGAAGGGGGCUAGCGUUGUUCGGAUUUACUGGGCGUAAAGCGCACGUAGGCGGACUAUUAAGUCAGGGGUGAAAUCCCGGGGCUCAACCCCGGAACUGCCUUUGAUACUGGUAGUCUUGAGUUCGAGAGAGGUGAGUGGAAUUCCGAGUGUAGAGGUGAAAUUCGUAGAUAUUCGGAGGAACACCAGUGGCGAAGGCGGCUCACUGGCUCGAUACUGACGCUGAGGUGCGAAAGCGUGGGGAGCAAACAGGAUUAGAAACCCGUGUAGUCCCAUGAU